AACAAAGUAAUUCGGCUGGAGCUGGCCUGCUUCCAGCAAAAUCUGAAAGAAGAUGACCUCAUCAUUGAAGAAUUAUGAUUUUCCUCCCUGAAGGAAUUGCUGGCUCUAUUUGGACCUCCCAAUUAGCCAAAGACUGGCAGAAGAAGAGGCGCUGAGAAUCAGGAGGGGGACAGAUGAUUUAACCAGCCAUGAAAUAUGGACUGAGAUUGGGCAGAACUGAGAUUGGGCAGGAAGGAAGGAAGGAAGGAAGGAAGGAAGGAAGGAAGGAAGGAAGGAAGGAUCCAUGACAGAUGGUCAUCUAAUCUCUGCUUUAAAACCUGCAAGGAAGGAGAGUCCAUCACCUUCCAGGGGAGUCCAUUCUUCUGUUGAACAAUGUUUAGUCGGAAUCUCCUUUGUUGAAUCCUGAAGCCAUUGGUUCAAGUCCUACCAUCCAGAGCAGGAGAAAAAAAGCUUGCUGCAUCUUCCAUGUGACAGCCCUUGAGUUAUUUGAAAAUGGCUCUCUCUCUGGUGUCACUGGAUCAAGCUGAUCGAUUUUCUUGCAUUACUUAAACUAAAUAGUUUUUAAUGGAUUUUGAAUAAACAUGCAAUAAAUUGUUACUGUUUUGAA